rnacentral:rRNA from 1 species
AACGAACGCUGGCGGCAUGCCUAACACAUGCAAGUCGAACGAGACCUUCGGGUCUAGUGGCGCACGGGUGCGUAACGCGUGGGAAUCUGCCCUUGGGUUCGGGAUAACAGUUGGAAACGACUGCUAAUACCGGAUGAUGACUUCGGUCCAAAGAUUUAUCGCCCAAGGAUGAGCCCGCGUAAGAUUAGCUUGUUGGUGAGGUAAAGGCGCACCAAGGCGACGAUCUUUAGCUCGUCUGAGAGGAUGAUCAGCCACACUGGGACUGAGACACGGCCCAGACUCCUACGGGAGGCAGCAGUGGGGAAUAUUGGACAAUGGGCGAAAGCCUGAUCCAGCAAUGCCGCGUGAGUGAUGAAGGCCUUAGGGUUGUAAAGCUCUUUUACCAGGGAUGAUAAUGACAGUACCUGGAGAAUAAGCUCCGGCUAACUCCGUGCCAGCAGCCGCCGUAAGAC